rnacentral:rRNA from 1 species
AGAGUUUGAUCCUGGCUCAGAUUGAACGCUGGCGGCAUGCCUUACACAUGCAAGUCGAACGGUAACAGGUUAAGCUGACGAGUGGCGAACGGGUGAGUAAUGUAUCGGAACGUGCCCAGUCGUGGGGGAUAACUACUCGAAAGAGUGGCUAAUACCGCAUACGACCUGAGGGUGAAAGCGGGGGACCGUAAGGCCUCGCGCGAUUGGAGCGGCCGAUAUCAGAUUAGCUAGUUGGCGGGGUUAAAGCCCACCAAGGCGACGAUCUGUAGCUGGUCUGAGAGGACGACCAGCCACACUGGGACUGAGACACGGCCCAGACUCCUACGGGAGGCAGCAGUGGGGAAUUUUGGACAAUGGACGCAAGUCUGAUCCAGCCAUGCCGCGUGCGGGAAGAAGGCCUUCGGGUUGUAAACCGCUUUUGUCAGGGAAGAAACGGGUUUCUCUAAUACAGAGGCCUAAUGACGGUACCUGAAGAAUAAGCACCGGCUAACUACGUGCCAGCAGCCGCGGUAAUACGUAGGGUGCAAGCGUUAAUCGGAAUUACUGGGCGUAAAGCGUGCGCAGAUAUCAGGAGGAACACCAAUGGCGAAGGCAGGUCUCUGGGCCAAUACUGACACUGAGGAGCGAAAGCGCGGGGAGCGAACAGGAUUAGAUACCCUGGUAGUCCGCGCCGUAAACGGUGGGCACUAGUUGUGGGAACCUUCCACGGUUUCUGCGACGCAGCUAACGCAUUAAGUGCCCCGCCUGGGGAGUACGAUCGCAAGAUUAAAACUCAAAGGAAUUGACGGGGCCCCGCACAAGCAGCGGAGCAUGCGGCUUAAUUCGACGCAACGCGAAGAACCUUACCAAGGCUUGACAUAUACAGGAAUAUGGCAGAGAUGUCAUAGCGGUAAAACGUCUGUAUACAGGUGGUGCAUGGUUGUCGUCAGCUCGUGUCGUGAGAUGUUGGGUUAAGUCCCGCAACGAGCGCAACCCUCGUUCUGUGUUGCCAGCAUUUAGUUGGGGACUCACAGGAGACUGCCGGGGUUAACUCGGAGGAAGGUGGGGAUGACGUCAAAUCAUCAUGCCCCUUAUGUCUUGGGCUGCACGCAUGCUACAAUGGCUGGUACAAAGGGCUGCAAUACUGCAAAGUGGAGCGAAUCCCAAAAAGCCAGUCUCAGUUCGGAUUGGGGUCUGCAACUCGACCCCAUGAAGUCGGAGUUGCUAGUAAUCGUAGAUCAGCAACGCUACGGUGAAUACGUUCCCGGGGCUUGUACACACCGCCCGUC